AUACAACAAGUAGGAUAAGAGCCGUGGAAUUGGAAUAGGCAACCUAAAACCCAAAUGGUGAAGCAAAACCUUUCUGGCACUGAGUUUUAAUGGCUCUUAAAUUCCCUUGCACAGAAAUAAUAAGAUGAACGUCCCAGUUCAUUUUUCAAG